rnacentral:rRNA from 1 species
UACGUAGGGGGCAAGCGUUGUUCGGAAUUACUGGGCGUAAAGGGCGCGUAGGCGGCACGGCAAGUCGGGAGUGAAAGGCCUGGGCUCAACCGAGGAACUGCUUUCGAGACUGCCGAGCUAGAGUGCGGAAGGGGCAACUGGAAUUCCCAGUGUAGCGGUGAAAUGCGUAGAUAUCAGGAGGAACACCGGUGGCGAAGGCGGGUCUCUGGGCAAUAACUGACGCUGAGGAGCGAAAGCGUGGGGAGCGAACAGG